CCUACGGGGGGCAGCAGUGAGGAAUAUUGGUCAAUGGACGAGAGUCUGAACCAGCCAAGUAGCGUGAAGGAUGACUGCCCUAUGGGUUGUAAACUUCUUUUAUAUGGGAAUAAAACGUUCCACGUGUGGGAUUUUGUAUGUACCCUAUGAAUAAGGAUCGGCUAACUCCGUGCCAGCAGCCGCGGUAAUACGGAGGAUCCGAGCGUUAUCCGGAUUUAUUGGGUUUAAAGGGAGCGUAGGUGGAUUGUUAAGUCAGUUGUGAAAGUUUGCGGCUCAACCGUAAAAUUGCAGUUGAAACUGGCAGUCUUGAGUACAGUAGAGGUGGGCGGAAUUCGUGGUGUAGCGGUGAAAUGCUUAGAUAUCACGAAGAACUCCGAUUGCGAAGGCAGUUCACUGGACUGCAACUGACACUGAGGCUCGAAAGUGUGGGUAUCAAACAGGAUUAGAUACCCGAGUAGUC
rnacentral:rRNA from 1 species